rnacentral:rRNA from 1 species
CGCGAAGAACCUUACCAACUCUUGACAUCCCAUUGACCGCUUGAGAGAUCAAGUUUUCCCUUCGGGGACAAUGGUGACAGGUGGUGCAUGGUUGUCGUCAGCUCGUGUCGUGAGAUGUUGGGUUAAGUCCCGCAACGAGCGCAACCCCUAUCCUUAGUUGCCAGCACUCAGUUGGGCACUCUAGGGAGACUGCCGGUGACAAACCGGAGGAAGGUGGGGAUGACGUCAAAUCAUCAUGCCCCUUAUGAGUUGGGCUACACACGUGCUACAAUGGACGGUACAAAGGGCAGCGAGACCGCGAGGUGGAGCCAAUCCCAUAAAGCCGUUCCCAGUUCGGAUUGCAGGCUGCAACUCGCCUGCAUGAAGUCGGAAUCGCUAGUAAUAGCAGGUCAGCAUACUGCGGUGAAUACGUUCCCGGGUCUUGUACACACCGCCCGUCACACCACGAGAGUUUGCAACACCCGAAGCCGGUGAGUAACCGACAAGGAGCCAGCCGUCGAAGUGGGUAGUNUUGG